UACGUAGGGUGCGAGCGUUAAUCGGAAUUACUGGGCGUAAAGCGUGCGCAGGCGGUUCUAUAAGACAGAUGUGAAAUCCCCGGGCUCAACCUGGGAACUGCAUUUGUGACUGUAGAGCUGGAGUGCGGCAGAGGGGGGAUGGAAUUCCGCGUGUAGCAGUGAAAUGCGUAGAUAUGCGGAGGAACACCGAUGGCGAAGGCAAUCCCCUGGGCCUGCACUGACGCUCAUGCACGAAAGCGUGGGGAGCAAACAGG
rnacentral:rRNA from 1 species